AAUCAACGCUGGCGGCGUGCCUCAGACAUGCAAGUCGAACGAUUAAGACUCUCUUCGGAGAGUGUAUAAAGUGGCGCACGGGUGAGUAACACGUAAGUAAUCUACCCUCGAGUGGGGAAUAACCCGGGGAAACCCGGGCUAAUACCGCAUAACGCAGCGGCACCUAAUGGUGACAGUUGUUAAAGCCCGCAAGGGCGCUUGAGGAGGAGCUUGCGGCAGAUUAGCUAGUUGGUAGGGUAAUGGCCUACCAAGGCAACGAUCUGUAUCCGGCCUGAGA
rnacentral:rRNA from 1 species